AUGGGGUGCAGCAGGCGCGAAAACUCCACAAUGCACGAAAGUGUGAUGGGGUUAUCCCGAGUGCCGUCCGAUGAGGAUGGCUUUUCUUUGGCGUAAAUAACCAGAGGAAUAAAGGGGGGGCAAGACUGGUGUCAGCCGCCGCGGUAAUACCAGCUCCCUGAGUGGUAGGGACAAUUAUUUGGCCUAAAGCGUCCGUAGCCUGCUUGGUAAGUCUUUCGUAAAAUCCAACGACUUAAUCGUUGGCAUGCGUAAGAUACUGCUAGGCUAGAGGACGGGAGAAGUUGACGGUAGUCCCAGGGUAGGGGUGAAAUCCAAUAAUCCUGGGAGGACCACCAGUGGCGAAGGCGGUCAACAAGAACGUGCCUGACGGUGAUGGACGAAAGCUGGGGGAGCGAACCGGAUUAGACACCCGGGUAGUCCCAGCUGUAAACGAUGCGGGCUAGGUGUUAGGGCAGCUACGUGCUGCUCUAGUGCCGCAGAGAAGUCGUUAAGCCCGCCGCCUGGGAAGUACGAUCGCAAGGUUGAAACUUAAAGGAAUUGGCGGGGGAGCAC
rnacentral:rRNA from 1 species